rnacentral:rRNA from 1 species
GACGAACGCUGGCGGCGUGCUUAACACACGCAAGUCGAACGGAAAGGCCCUGCUUUUGUGGGGUGCUCGAGUGGCGAACGGGUGAGUAACACGUGAGUAACCUGCCCUUGACUUUGGGAUAACUUCAGGAAACUGGGGCUAAUACCGGAUAGGAGCUCCUGCUGCAUGGUGGGGGUUGGAAAGUUUCGGCGGUUGGGGAUGGACUCGCGGCUUAUCAGCUUGUUGGUGGGGUAGUGGCUUACCAAGGCUUUGACGGGUAGCCGGCCUGAGAGGGUGACCGGCCACAUUGGGACUGAGAUACGGCCCAGACUCCUACGGGAGGCAGCAGUGGGGAAUAUUGCACAAUGGGCAGAAGCCUGAUGCAGCAACGCCGCGUGCGGGAUGACGGCCUUCGGGUUGUAAACCGCUUUCGCCUGUGACGAAGCGUGAGUGACGGUAAUGGGUAAAGAAGCACCGGCUAACUACGUG